rnacentral:lncRNA from 1 species
CCAACAGAUACUGUAAGACCAGCUGAGACAUCCAGCCUCGUGGACUGAAUAACUACUGGACUCUUGGACUUUCUAUCAAGAGAGAAUAGUUGGACUACAGCAUGAUUGAUCAGAAACAUGAUUGAACUGUUAUGGUUAUUAGGAUGAUACUGGAAUUGUGGAGGACAUGAGGAAUGCAGUUUGCUGUGAGUCCAGAGGAUGUCUCUUCAGCAUUCAGACUUGUGAGCUUAGAAAGCUGCCAUUGUGAAGAACCAAGGAGCCUCCCCAGCCACAGCACUGAGAAGGUACCCCAGACUGGAGCACAAGACCCAGUGCACACAGCUACUAGACUUCAGUUUCUGUCUUCCAAAACUACCAGCAGCUUUUUUCUCUGCUUGGAAAGCAUAAUUCUGUCAGAAGCCGGGAGUAAGCACCAUAUUUUCUAACAAGAAUACACCGUAAG